GGGCACGCUGGCGGCGUGCUAUACAUGCAAGUAGAACGCUGAAGAGAGGAGCUUGCUCUUCUUGGAUGAGUUGCGAACGGGUGAGUAACGCGUAGGUAACCUGCCUGGUAGCGGGGGAUAACUAUUGGAAACGAUAGCUAAUACCGCAUAAAAUUGAUUAUUGCAUGAUAAUUAAUUGAAAGAUGCAACUGCAUCACUACCAGAUGGACCUGCGUUGUAUUAGCUAGUUGGUGAARGUAACGGCUCACCAAGGCGACGAUACAUAGCCGACCUGAGAGSGUGAUCGGCCACACUKGGACUGAGACACGGCYCAGACUCCUACGGGAGGCAGCAGUAGGGAAUCUUCGGCAAUGGGGGGAACCCUGAMCGAGCAACGCCGCGUGAGUGAAGAAGGUUUUCGGAUCGUAAAGCUCUGUUGUAAGAGAAGAACGGGUGUGAGAGUGGAAAGUUCACACUGUGACGGUAUCUUACCAGAAAGGGACGGCUAACUACGUGCCAGCAGCCGCGGUAAUACGUAGGUCCCGAGCGUUGUCCGGAUUUAUUGGGCGUAAAGCGAGCGCAGGCGGUUAGAUAAGUCUGAAGUUAAAGGCUGUGGCUUAACCAUAGUAUGCUUUGGAAACUGUUUAACUUGAGUGCAGAAGGGGAGAGUGGAAUUCCAUGUGUAGCGGUGAAAUGCGUAGAUAUAUGGAGGAACACCGGUGGCGAAAGCGGCUCUCUGGUCUGUAACUGACGCUGAGGCUCGAAAGCGUGGGGAGCAAACAGGAUUAGAUACCCUGGUAGUCCACGCCGUAAACGAUGAGUGCUAGGUGUUAGGCCCUUUCCGGGGCUUAGUGCCGCAGCUAACGCAUUAAGCACUCCGCCUGGGGAGUACGACCGCAAGGUUGAAACUCAAAGGAAUUGACGGGGGCCCGCACAAGCGGUGGAGCAUGUGGUUUAAUUCGAAGCAACGCGAAGAACCUUACCAGGUCUUGACAUCCCGAUGCCCGCUCUAGAGAUAGAGUUUUACUUCGGUACAUCGGUGACAGGUGGUGCAUGGUUGUCGUCAGCUCGUGUCGUGAGAUGUUGGGKUAAGUCCCGCAACGAGCGCAACCCCUAUUGUUAGUUGCCAUCAUUCAGUUGGGCACUCUAGCGAGACUGCCGGUAAUAAACCGGAGGAAGGUGGGGAUGACGUCARAUCAUCAUGCCCCUUAUGACCUGGKCUACACACGUGCUACAAUGGCUGGUACAACGAGUCGCAAGCCGGUGACGGCAAGCUAAUCUCUGAAAGCCAGUCUCAGUUCGGAUUGUAGGCUGCAACUCGCCUACAUGAAGUCGGAAUCGCUAGUAAUCGCGGAUCAGCACGCCGCGGUGAAUACGUUCCCGGGCCUUGUACACACCGCCCGUCACACCACGAGAGUUUGUAACACCCGAAGUCGGUGAGGUAACCGUAAGGAGCCAGCCGCCUAAGGUGGAAGAGUUG
rnacentral:rRNA from 1 species